rnacentral:tmRNA from 1 species
GGGGGCGACCUGGUUUCGACGGGGUUCGCCAAGAAGUAGGUUGCGCGUCGAGGACGCCGUUGGCCUCGUUAAAAAACGGCACAGCCAAUAACUGGCAACGUUAACAACAACAGCUACGCACUCGCUGCUUAAAUCCGGCGACGUCUCCUAGAAGCCCAGCCGAUGGCUCGCUAGGCAAGAUGAAUUAUAGUCGGCUAGCCUAAAGUCUCGAGCGUUGGACUUUAACGGGCGAAAACAAAGACGCUUAGGUCGCGCCGCUGAGCCCGUCACCGGGCGCAGGCGCCGCCGAAACCAAAAACGGUGACUACACGCGUAGAGACCUGGUUUGAGGGAGCUUCGGACGGCGGUUCGAUUCCGCCCGCCUCCACCA